GGGCCCGUCGUCUAGCGGCAGGAUGCCUCCCUGACGCGGAGGUGGUCCUGGGUUCAAAUCCCAGCGGGCCCA
rnacentral:tRNA from 2 species